rnacentral:rRNA from 1 species
AAUUUUCGACAAUGGGGGAAACCCUGAUCCAGCCAUCCCGCGCGUAUGAUGAAGGCCUUCGGGUUGUAAAGUACUCUUGGCAGAGAAGAAAAGGUAUCUCCUAAUACGAGAUACUGCUGACGGUAUCUGCAGAAUAAGCACCGGCUAACUACGUGCCAGCAGCCGCGGUAAUACGUAGGGUGCAAGCGUUAAUCGGAAUUACUGGGCGUAAAGCGUAUGUAGGCGGUUCGGAAAGGAAGAUGUGAAAUCCCAGGGCUCAGCCUGGGAACGGCAUUUUUAACUGCCGAGCUAGAGUAGGUCAGAGGGGGGUAGAAUUCCACGUGUAGCGGUGAAAUGCGUAGAUAUGUGGAGGAAUACCGAUGGCGAAGGCAGCCCCCUGGGAUAAUACUGACGCUCAGACACGAAAGCGUGGGGAGCAAACA